CGCCCUCCUUCCUUCCCCACCGAACUACCAACCCUCCUCUCCUUCCUCGCACACAGACAGCACAGCGCGAGCACAAGCGCAGUCGCACGCUCGACGGCUGAGUAAUAAACUAAUAAAAACGCGCAGAAAAUAAUACCGAGAGGAAGAGAAAAAAAAAAAAUCCCCAAAGCCACUUCUCCUCCUGCUCCCCCCACCUCCCAUGCCUCCUCCCCUCGCCUCCGCCGCCGCCGCAGCCGUCGAGGGAAGUAGGGCCACCGGCGGGUGGAGCCGUGGCUUCCUCCGUAGCCGCCGCAGCUCCAGGGGCGCAGGCGGUAGCCGUCGCGGAGGCGCCCUGUGAGCCCUGACCGGUGGCUGGCGGGGGUGGGGGGCGCCGGCGGGCUGGUUGACGGGUGGGGCGCGGGCGGGCGAUGGCGCCGGCGAAGAGGAAGCGCGCGGCGGCUGCUGCCGCGGCCGCCGCGGCGGCCGCGGCCAGGUGGAAGGUGGGCGACCUCGUGCUCGCCAAGAUGAAGGGCUUCCCGGCGUGGCCGGCCAUGAUAAGUGAACCAGAGCAGUGGGGCCAGUCUUCUGCUAAAAAGAAGCCGCUGGUCUAUUUCUACGGUACUAAACAGAUUGCUUUCUGCAAUUAUGCUGAUCUAGAGGCAUUCACUGAAGAGAAAAAAAGGUCUCUACUUGCUAAGCGACAUGGUAAAGGGGCUGACUUUCUGAGAGCAGUUGAUGAAAUAAUUGAAGUUUAUGAUUCUUUGAAGGACAAAGAUAAUAAUAAGCUUGACUUGGCUGCUGAUGAAGUGAAGCCAGGUGUAGAAAAGCUCGCUGAAAAUAAUAGCUGCAUGGAUACUGAAAAUCUGGUCAAUAGCUCAAAUGUGCAUAGUGAUAAAAAGAUAGAAGAUUAUUCUAUCACUACCAGGAGUGAUGAUAUGGUCAGUUCUGAUGGACCUUCUGUCACUGUGAAGGGUGACGAACCUUGUGUUGUAAAUUCUGCUCCUGAUGAGCCUACUGAAAAUGUAUCCAUCCUUGAUGAAAUGAGGGAUAUUCCUCUGUGUACUAAUUCAUUUUCAAAUAAGCCAAGGGAUGCACAACCGAAAAAUUGUUAUACACGUAGUAGGGUUCCAUCGCUGCGGAAGUCAAGAAGUUCAGUAAGUGUUGAAUCAAGAAAGGCUCAAGGUUCUGGCAAUCUUUCGGAUCGUCAUAAGCAUCCAGAGGAUGACAAAGCUAACUCAGGUUCUGUUUCUACAUCAGAUAAUGUUUGGUUGCAUUCUAGUGCAGGCACCUUCAACCAAUCUGUAGCUUUGGGGACUAUUAGCAGCAAUGGAAAGUUGAAUCCUCCUGCUAAGGCAGAUAGUACCUGUAAUAGUGAAGCAUCUGAAAAUGGAGCUUCAGAGACAGAAUUGAAAUCAAAUGGUACAUCAAUUCUUCCAAUAGACCCUGCAAUAAUUUUCAAGAGAAAAAGAAAAGCAGAUAGAAAGCCACCUCAUUAUAAAGAUUGUACAGCAUCAAACAAAGAUGAAGAAUUGCAGGCUGAGUACAGUGAAAUCCUUCCAGAUUCUCCAAAUUCGAAGAAUGACGUGAAUAAGUCAGAUGGAGAUGAGCACUUGCCACUGGUCAAAAGGGCAAGGGUCCGAAUGGGAAGGUCUCAGUUGGAGGAUUCACCAGUUGAUGAGAUUGAUGUUUCUAAGAAGCCAGAGUUUGCUAUAACUGCAAACCAAUGUGAUAUGCAUGGUACCCCUGCAAUACCUGUCAAUGAUUACCCAGCUGAUCAGGUGUCGGCAGUGGUAAAUACUGUUUCUAAUCCAUCAUCCAAAUUUGAUAUGCCUAUCCUGUCAGGGGACGGUCAUCCUUCAUGGAAGAAUAAAGAAUACCAUCCAAAGAUUUUGGCAUUGGAUGUGGAAGCUGCUUUGCCUCCAUCAAAACGCCUUCAUCGUGCCUUAGAAGCAAUGUCUGCUAAUGUUGCUGAAACUAACAAUAGUAUACCUGAAGUGACAGGACAGAAUGGUAUGCUUCUAAAUGGUUCUUUGUCGAGAGGAAACAACCAUUCUAAUAUAUCCGCAGAUGCAGAAGUCACAGUAUCUAAUAAAUCUGGAAUAGUUCAAAGCCCUGGACCUUCAUUGGACACACAGUCUGUGCAUAGUCCAUCUGGCAAAUAUACCUCUGGAUCAAUUUUACAAAAUAACGCUGAUUCUGAUUCUGCUUCAGUUCCUUCAAAAGCAAAUGAUCAUGACAAUCAUAUCAUGACAAAAGGCGAUAUUUGUGAAGAAACCCACAUGGAUAGCAAAGCAGCCAAUUGUUCCUUGGUUUGUAAUGAACUAGAUAAUGAUGUCCGUGUGAAAACUUCAGCUCUUUGUAUGGAAUUGAAUGAGCAUGCUCUUGAUGUUACACAAACCACUUCUGUACCUGACCGGUUAUCUUCGUCUUUGGAGAAAGCUAGUGAAAAUGUGGUGACAAUUGAUGUGAAAGAGACAAGACCUUCUGGCUCAGCUGCCUGUAAUGUUGACAGAACUGAUGAGCCAGUUGACCAUGCAAACAACAAUGUGAUCACCAAAGCUAUAUGCCAUGGUGAGAUGGUUGUAGCUGAAUCCAUGAACAAUGUGGGGGAUACGGCAAGCAAUUCUUCAUUGGCUACUAAAUCAUCCAGUAUACAAUCCGAUGCAGAUACCCGGACAUCUGAAGUGCAUACGUUCUCGUCUUUGGCAUUGAAAGAACUGAACCACACAAAUCUAAAGGACAAGAACACUUCCCCAGAUUCAAUGCCAAUGAAAGAACUUAUAGCUGUUGCACAAGCUAGAAGGUUCUCUCGAUCAACUUCCUUUCCAGAUAACUUCCUAAAUGCCAAGUAUAUUCCUGAAACAUCAGUAAAUACACCCCCCAAGGAAGGAUCACAGGGGCAGUUGUCACCUUCAAAUUGGAUAAUCAGGUCCACCUCUGCAAACGAUAAUGUUCAUUCCAGGAGUCCUUUUGAUUGUAUUCAGCAGAAGAAAUUAGCAGGGCAUGAUGAAGCCAAUGCAGCACGAAGGUCUUUCAAAGAUUUUCUCGGUACAAUGACAAGAACAAAAGAAAGUAUAGCACGUGCAACACGUCUUGCUAUUGAGUGUGCUAAAUUUGGCAUUGCUGGUGAGGCAAUUGAUAUUAUUGUUGAACACCUGGAAAAGGAAUCUAAUUUAUAUAAGAGGGUGGACCUCUUCUUCCUUGUAGAUUCAAUAACACAGUGCUCUCGCAAUCAGAAAGGUGGAGCUGGAGAUGUAUAUCCCUCUCUUAUUCAGGCAGUUCUACCUCGAAUACUCUAUGCUGCUGCGCCUCCUGGAAACUCAGCAUGGGAGAAUCGAAAGCAAUGCCUCAAGGUUUUGAAACUUUGGCUUGAAAGAAAAACACUUUCAGAAUAUAUCAUCCGUCACCAUAUUAGGGAAAUUGAGACUAUCAAUGAGGCGUCAUUUGGAAGUUCUCGCCGUCCUUCAAGAACAGAGAGAGCUCUAAAUGACCCUUUGCGUGACAAUGAAGGAAUGCUUGUUGAUGAGUAUGGGAGCAAUGCUGGUUUUCAGCUACCAAACUUAAUUUGCACAAAGGUACUUGAAGAAGAAGAAGAUGGAAACUCCUCUGAAGAUAGGAGCUUUGAAGCUGUUACACCUGAACAGGAUGCCCCAGAUAAUGAUAACAAUGAAGAACCUCAAAUGCAUUUGGAGAAGCAUCGCCGCGUUCUUGAAGAAGUUGAUGGUGAACUUGAGAUGGAGGAUGUAUCUCCACCAUCUGACAUUGAAGUUACCACCAAAUGCCGACCAGAGCAAAGUGGUACCAAUUGUACGGCAUCUGAUCAGCGCCCUUCAGAUGUUGGUCCUCCCCUUCCUGUGGAUAGGCCUCCAUCACCUCCACCUUUGCCAUCAUCUCCUCCACCCGUGCCACCUCCACCACCUGCCCCGCCUCAGAGUGCGCAAGCGCAAAUGCAGUCAAAAUUACAAAUGACAUCUGAUCCCAAUGGGGCGCAUCCUCCAAGAGCUACAUAUAAUGUUCAAAGUCAACAACCACAUUCUAUUUCAGAGCACCCAGGUAACAUGAAUCCUUCUGUUGCACCAUUGCCGCCUCCACCAUUUAAUAAUUCAGGAUAUGGAGGUCAAUCAAAUCAGAUUCCACCUCCCCCACCGAUGGCACCACAUCCUCCUGGUCCCCACAGUAAUUUCCCUGCACCCCCAGCACCUUACCAUGGAAAUAACUAUCACCGGCCUCCAACUACUUCAAUUCCUAAUGAGGGAUAUCAUCUGCAACCACCACCCCCUCCACCCCCUCCAAAUCAAUUCCCUCCUGUGCCACCAGAACACCAACAAAGGCCACAUCACUGGGGUCAUAACUGUCCUCCGUAUCCUGAGAGAUAUCGGUACAAUGGACAUGAUCGAGGUCAUCACAGACAUGAUAGAAGGCAUCAUGGGCAUGACAGACACCAUUUUGAUGAUAGAGGAUACCACUACGAUGAUAGGGGAUAUCACUAUGAUGAUAGAGGCCAUUAUUUUGAUGAUAGAAGACAUCAUUUAGACGAUCGAGGACAUCAUUUUGAUGAGAGAGCUAUUAGGGGGCCAAUGCACCACGAGGCUGCUGAUAGGGGAAGAUAUCCUUUUCCACCAGUCAUAUGCAGGACCUCCUCCGAUUCCAGACCAUUUUGAAGCUCCACCAGCCCCAAUGCACUAUGGGCGGCCAUCAGAUCCUCCGGCAGGCCCUUGUACGGGCUGGUCUAGGCCCCCUAGGAUAUCUAACUAUUCUCCCUCCAGACAUUCUAUGGAGCCUCCAGUUUCACAUGCAGCUGGAGGACAUGGUGGCUGGAGACCACGAUAACUUUUUGCAAAAUUGAAAUGGUGCUGAUGCUUUUUCUUAGUAUAUGGGCCUGGAAGACUGAGGUAACUCCACCUCAGGGUGGAGGCACCCGCCAGAUUCUCCAGGAAGUCGGAGCUGAUACCUGCUUCCUUGUACAUAUUGUAUCCUAUAGGGGUAGGAUGUCCGACAUCACGGAGGGCUGAAUUGUAGGGAUAGGGCGUCUUGUAUCAAGCGAUUGUAGCCUUAGAUUGUAUUUGUUAGUGCCGCGGUCUUCGAUUUCUCUUUUGUCAGAAAGCAGCCAGCUACUCUGAUGACUUACUGAAACUGUUUGAUUACAGCGUACAUAAGCCAAAGAGUGAAUACAAAUCAUUUUGCCCUA